GGAAGUGAACCAUCUCAGUACCCGGAGGAAGAGAAAGCAAUAGCGAUUCCCUCAGUAGCGGCGAGCGAAGCGGGAACAGCCCAAACCCUCGAUAUGUCAAGCCUGCCGGCGUUGUAUCGGGGGGGUUGCAGGGCCGGACAGGGUGCCGCGGCAGUGGCGCCGGGAAGUUAAAAACCGAGUCUUUAGCCGAAUGGUCUGGAACGGCCAGCGAAACAGGGUGCAAGCCCCGUAGGCGAAAGAGGCAAGGCUUCCUCGUUCGGAUCCUGAGUACCGCGGGACACGUGGAACCCUGCGGGAAGCCGGGAGGACCAUCUCCCAAGGCUAAAUACGUGCCUGCGACCGAUAGUGAACAAGUACCGUGAGGGAAAGGUGAAAAGCACCCCUGUGAGGGGAGUGAAAUAGUACCUGAAACCGUGUGCUUACAAGCAGUGGGAGGGCGUUUUCCGCGGGGCAACCCGCGGAGUUGCCUGACCGCGUGCCUUUUGCAUAAUGAGCCGGCUAGUUAUUCUCAGUGGCGAGGCUAAGCGUUGAGCGAGCCGCAGCGAAAGCGAGUCCGAAUAGGGCGAUUCAGUCGCUGGGGAAUAGACGCGAAGCGAGGUGAUCUACCCAUGGCCAGGGUGAAAGCCGGGUAACACCGGCCGGAGGCCCGAACCCAGUGUUGGUUGAAAACAACUUGGAUGAGCCGUGGGUAGGGGUGAAAGGCUAAUCAAACCUCGUGAUUGCCCGUUCUCCUCGAAAUAGCUUUAGGGCUAGCCUCGAGGGUUAGCUUGCGGAGGUAAAGUACUGGAUGGACUAGGGCCUUUACCGAGGUACCGAAUCCAACCAAACUCUGAAUGCCGCAAAGCUCGACCUCGGGAGUCAGACAGUGGGGGCUAAGCUUCAUUGUCGAGAGGGAAACAGCCCAGACCGCCAGCUAAGGUCCCCAAUUCAGGCUCAGUGGUAAAGGAUGUGGACCCGCUAAAACAACCAGGAGGUUGGCUUAGAAGCAGCCAUCCUUUAAAGAAAGCGUAAUAGCUCACUGGUCUAGUAGGUCCGCGCCGACAAUUCAACGGGGCUCAAGCCUGAUACCGAAGCUGCGGACUUCCAGGAGACCCGUCUCCUGGAAUUGGUAGAGGAGCAUUCCAUGUGCGGCGAAGCUCGACCGACAAGGACGGGUGGAGCGCAUGGAAGUGACCCUGCCGGCACAAGUAGCGAUAAAACGCGCGAGAACCGCGUUCGCCGAAAGCCUAAGGUUUCCUGAGCAAGGUCAAUCCGCUCAGGGUCAGUCGGUCCUAAGCCCAGGCCGAAAGGCGUAGCCGAUGGAAAACGGGCCAACUUUCCGUACUGCCGGGCGACGAUCAAGACCGAUGGGGUGACGCAGAAGGGUAACCCAGCCGCCGACUGGAAAUGGCGGUUCAAGGGUGUAGGAAGUCUCCGCAGGGAAAUCCACGGGGGCGCGUUUCCGAGACCUGACGACGAGAGCUUCGGCUCGCAAAGUGGCCCACCCCACGCUGCCAAGAAAAGCCUCUAAGGAGUCGUCCGGUGACCGUACCGCAAACCGACACAGGUAGGCGAGGAGAAUAUCCUCAGGCGCUAGUGUGAUCCCUCGUUUAGGAACUCGGCAAAAUAACCCCGUAACUUCGGGAGAAGGGGUGCCCUCGCGGGUGAGAAGACUUGCUCUUCGAGCCUAGGGGGGCCGCAGCGAAUCGGCCCAGGCGACUGUUUACUAAAAACACAGGGCUCUGCAAACUCACAAAAAGGAAGUAUAGGGCCUGACGCCUGCCCGGUGCCGGAAGGUUAAAGAGAGGGGUUAGCCGCAAGGCAAAGCUCUGAACUGAAGCCCCGGUAAACGGCGGCCGUAACUAUAACGGUCCUAAGGUAGCGAAAUUCUUUGUC
rnacentral:rRNA from 1 species